rnacentral:rRNA from 1 species
CCUACGGGAGGCAGCAGUGAGGAAUAUUGGUCAAUGGACGAGAGUCUGAACCAGCCAAGUAGCGUGAAGGAUGACUGCUCUAUGGGUUGUAAACUUCUUUUAUAUGGGAAUAAAACGUUCCAUGUGUGGGAUUUUGUAUGUACCAUACGAAUAAGGAUCGGCCAACUUCGUGCCAGCAGCCGCGGUAAUACGGAGGAUCCGAGCGUUAUCCGGAUUUAUUGGGUUUAAAGGGAGCGUAGGUGGAUUGUUAAGUCAGUUGUGAAAGUUUGCGGCUCAACCGUAAAAUUGCAGUUGAAACUGGCAGUCUUGAGUACAGUAGAGGUGAGCGGAAUUCGUGGUGUAGCGGUGAAAUGCUUAGAUAUCACGAAGAACUCCGAUUGCGAAGGCAGUUCACUGGACUGCAACUGACACUGAGGCUCGAAAGUGUGGGUAUCAAACAGGAUUAGAUACCCGAGUAGUC